CAGAAAUCAACAGAACUCUGAUAAUAGGUUCCAGCAAACUGGCUGCUUCACUGGAGUAAAAAGUUCGAAAACAACAGCAAUAACAACAACAUCCAGUUCAACACCAACAGCCAGGUGUCAUCCACAAGCCAAUCGCAGUCCAGCAACAGACAGCAGCUGAAUGCUGCUUCCUCCCUCAGGCAGUUCACUGACGAGGUCAACAGCGUUUUCGAGCCUUUGAACCUGCCGUCGGGCGCCACCCUUUUGUUGGGCAGGAUCUCGUCCUCCUUCAGCUGCGCUGACAGACCUUAUGGUUACUACGCUAACCAAGAGAACUCGUGUCGUGUGUUCCACGUCUGCAACCCAGCACUCUUCUCUGAUGGCAAGAUCGAAGCCUCCAGUACAGCUUCAGGUGCGGAGAGGGCACUGUCUUUGACCAGGACGAAUUGACCUGCAAAGCAGAGUACGAAGCAACGCCCUGCCAAGAGGCUGACAACUUCUACUUCGGAAACGAGCAAUUCGGUCGUUUGGAGGACAGAAAUUUCUAAAGGGUUUGAGCUGAUGAGAGAAAAAUUUGGGUCUCUGGGUUUGACCCAGACUCCGGCGAGUGCUAUUUAUUCAGAGAUGUCUGUUGAUCGAGUAGGCUAGAUGGGGGUACUACCAAGUCUCGGUGGACUCGGUACUACAAUGUGUAUAAGUGCACGGUUAUAUACAAUAAAUCACAAGGAUAA